UACAGAGGUCUCAAGCGUUGUUCGGAUUCAUUGGGCGUAAAGGGUGCGUAGGCGGCGCGGUAAGUCGGGCGUGAAAUCUCGGGGCUUAACUCCGAAACUGCAUUCGAUACUGCCGUGCUUGAGGACUGGAGAGGAGGCUGGAAUUUACGGUGUAGCGGUGAAAUGCGUAGAUAUCGUAAGGAAGACCAGUGGCGAAGGCGGGUCUCUGGACAGUUCCUGACGCUGAGGCACGAAGGCCAGGGGAGCAAACGGG
rnacentral:rRNA from 1 species